GUGGGGAAUAUUGGACAAUGGGCGAAAGCCUGAUCCAGCCAUGCCGCGUGUGUGAAGAAGGUCUUCGGAUUGUAAAGCACUUUAAGUUGGGAGGAAGGGCAGUAAGUUAAUACCUUGCUGUUUUGACGUUACCGACAGAAUAAGCACCGGCUAACUUCGUGCCAGCAGCCGCGGUAAUACGAAGGGUGCAAGCGUUAAUCGGAAUUACUGGGCGUAAAGCGCGCGUAGGUGGUUUUGUAAGUUGGAGGUGAAAUCCCCGGGCGCAACCUGGGAACUGGCUCCAAAACUGCAUGACUAGAGUACGGUAGAGGGUAGUGGAAUUUCCUGUGUAGCGGUGAAAUGCGUAGAUAUAGGAAGGAACACCAGUGGCGAAGGCGACUACCUGGACUGAUACUGACACUGAGGUGCGAAAGCGUGGGGAGCAAACAGGAUUAGAUACCCGAGUAGUCC
rnacentral:rRNA from 1 species